rnacentral:misc_RNA from 1 species
GGGAGAUUGGUGGGUGAGGAACAAAAUGAGGACAGGCAACAGCAACAGAACAAAUCGAGGAAAUCAGGAACAAAAUGAGGAAUAGGGAGAAACAGAACCGAGGGAAGGCCAAGACGAAGGGAGGGGAAGGCAAGAAGAAGAAGAUGGUGAUGGAGAAGAAGGGAAGGGAAUGAAGAAGUCGAUGGGCAGUCAAAACAGGGAAGAAGAUACAUUCUUUGGGCUUAAG